rnacentral:tRNA from 2 species
GGCGCCGUAGCCAAGCGGUAAGGCACGAGUCUGCAAAACUCUGAUUCACCGGUCCGAUUCCGGUCGGCGCCUCCA